CCUGGUGGCCUUGGCGGGGGUGCUCCACCCGAUCCCAUGCCGAACUCGGCCGUGAAACCCCCCAGCGCCUAUGGUACUGCCCUCUUAAGGGUGGGAGAGUUGGUCGUCGCCAGGC
rnacentral:rRNA from 1 species